rnacentral:tRNA from 1 species
GACGAGGUGGCAGAGUGGUUAAUACGAUGGACUGCUAAUCUAUUGUGCUCUGCACGCGUGGGUUCAUAUACCAUCCUCUUUG